rnacentral:rRNA from 1 species
CCUUUCGGGGUUAGUGGCGGACGGGUGAGUAUCGCGUAGGGAUUUAUCGUUGGGUGGGGGAUAACCUUGGGAAACUGGGGCUAAUACCGCAUGACGCCUGUGGGCCAAAGUUGUAAUGGCGCCUGACGAGAAGCCUGCGCCCGAUUAGCUAGUUGGUGGGGUAAAGGCGUACCAAGGCACCGAUCGGUAGCUGGUCUGAGAGGAUGAUCAGCCACACUGGGACUGAGACACGGCCCAG